CCCAGACAAAUAGGAAGUGGAGAGCGGUGUCUGCGCCGCCUCACAGCAGCGCCGACUUGGUACCGCUCCACUGGAUGAAAGCUGCUGAUGGAUCCGCUGUGGAUGUUUCUGCUGCUGGUUCUGGUUGGAUCAGAGGCCCUGAAUAUAACAGAGGUCAAAGCAGUACUGGGUCAGGAUGUGAAUUUGACCUGCUCUAUUGAUGUUGAUGACAUCUACUGGUACCUGGAGGUCCACUUCAACUUCAGAGUCGGUAUUGGACGAACAUUUUCCCAAACAGAAUCCAACUAUUUCUCUCCUGACUGUGAAUCCAAGUAUGUGAUGUCUGGGAACCAGCUGCUGAUUAAAAACGUCUCUCUAGAGGACAUCAGGCUGUACUACUGUGGCAGGAAGAACAACAGGAUCAUAGUUUAUGGAGACGUCUUCAGGCUGCACACAAAAAAGAGCCAUCUGAAUGCUUCACAAGCAGAAGCUCCGGCUACAACGACUACCAGCCCGACUGAUUGGCAGAAUGAGGUAGCUGCUCCGGUUUCGUUCUCUCUGAACGUCUUCCUUGCUCUCGUUCUUACUUGUGUGUGUCUGAAGAUGAGAAACUGCUGCUGCUGCAGCGCAAAGGACUCUGCAACAUACAUCAUAGAGAACCAGGACAUUCAGAACCCACAGUACGAGGAGAUCCAGCUGCCUCCCACUCCGGUUCCGGUUCGGGUUUCAUCAGAGUGCAUCUACUACAAAGCUCAACAUCCCAACCCCAAGAUGCGUCAAUACUGAGUCACACCUGGACAGGUGAACCGGUCUGAAGGGAGUCCAGCUUCCUGCUUCUGGACGCUAUGAACUCUGGGAAAUGACCGCUGGCCGAAGGAGUCUGAGCCGCUGAUAUUGUCGACGGGCCAAAAGCUGCUUGCUGAUUGGCUAGAAGCCCCACCUGGAGGACACACGGUGUCAUGACAACCAGACCGAACAGGAACAGCAUCGUGAUAACCAUUGUAGUGGAUUUAAAGUUACAACACACUUAUGAGAAAAUACUUGUGGGUGAGAAACGGGGCAGAGCUUAGAGAAAGUCAACAAUGAAUUAAUAACUUUAUUGUUGUUUAAUAAACAGAGAAAAUCAAUAAACCAAAGAGGCUGACAGGAAAUAAUCAUUAAUGUUUAAGGAAAUAUUUAAUAAAACGUGAGAAUAAUCAAAGGAAGUGAGACUCAA